AAUCUCCAUCAUGGAAGCCGAUCGACAAAUUCAAGUGGAAGCUCACACAAUCGAAGCAAUAUUGGCGCACGAAAUGCGUGGUCCCUCCCACUCGAAACUGUUACUUGUCGUUGUGAUUUUGAGCUUUCAACCCUUACUUCAUAGUCGGAAAAGAACCCUGGGAGAAAAUUCCGGGCAUGCCCAAAUUAUACGAGCCCAUCAUGUUGUGGCUAUUUUGAGUGGGUGGACGAAGAAGUUUGUCGAAGAUGCAAGAACAUUAUUCCUAGAUUGUUGAAAAAACUGGACAAAUUGGAAGAGAAAAUGAAACUGGAGAAAGAAAAAAAA